rnacentral:lncRNA from 1 species
CAAUCAAUCAAUCAAUCAAUCAAUAAACAAACAGGCUGUGGGUGUUGUAUUCUUUACAUUCACAAUAAUUGUUUCGUUUAUUAUUACUUUAGUUAGUUAAUAGUUAGAGUUCUCAAUAGAAAUAGUGGCUGCUGCUGCUGCAGUCAUUUAUUUAUUUCUUUAUUUAUUUGUUAUGUGUGUACGAUGCUGGGAUCCCGUGCUAAACAAACACACAAAAAAAACAAUAAACAAUAAACAAUAAACAAUGAGUAAAUCCUAAUUAUGAACAUGACUUUAUGGCAGCUUUAUUGCCACCAUCAACCAUCAAACUCUCUCCGGAUGCCACUUGUGGGGAUGCAACAGACAAAAGCUACUACAAGCAACCACAACAAAAAGUUUCAGGACUUGUUUCAUAUGAUGUGGGAGGGAGUGGGAACUGCAAAAGAUACAAUUACAAUUACAAUUACAAUUACAAUUUCCAAGGUACGCCACGACAUAACAUUUCUCUUCACGUUUAGACUUUAAAUUACAUUUUACGCUCUUCGAUGUUUCCAUCAUUUUUGUGUACAAAAAAAACAAUUUGGUUUCACGCUUGCAUUAGCCGAGAUUUAGCUUUAGAUUAUGUGCUAUAUAUAUAUAUAUAUAUGCAUAUAUAUAUAUAUGUAUAUAGGUGUAUAAGUAGAUAUAUCGUAUCGUGUAUAAAUAAUUACAAAAAAAUCUCUUUACGAUGUACGAACAAAAAAUACUUGCGCUCAAUUUUAGACAUGAAACAAAACCUUUACAUCGAG